GACGAACGCUGGCGGCGUGCCUAAUACAUGCAAGUAGAACGCUGAAGAGAGGAGCUUACUCUUCUUGGAUGAGUUGCGAACGGGUGAGUAACGCGUAGGUAACCUGCCUUGUAGCGGGGGAUAACUAUUGGAAACGAUAGCUAAUACCGCAUAACAAUGGAUGACACAUGUCAUUUAUUUGAAAGGGGCAAUUGCUCCACUACAAGAUGGACCUGCGUUGUAUUAGCUAGUAGGUGAGGUAAUGGCUCACCUAGGCGACGAUACAUAGCCGACCUGAGAGGGUGAUCGGCCACACUGGGACUGAGACCCGGCCCAGACUCCUACGGGGGGCAGCAGUAGGGAAUCUUCGGCAAUGGGGGCAACCCUGACCGAGCAACGCCGCGUGAGUGAAGAAGGUUUUCGGAUCGUAAAGCUCUGUUGUAAGUCAAGAACGGGUGUGAGAGUGGAAAGUUCACACUGUGACGGUAGCUUACCAGAAAGGGACGGCUAACUACGUG
rnacentral:rRNA from 1 species